UCAAAUGUCCUUGGACCUACUGAAAGAAAGGCCCACUACUCUCUAUUCCGAACAGUCUUGAAAUUCUGGUUUCACGGUUUCCCAGAAAGAGGAGCAGAAAGUGGUGUAUGCAAGGGGAUCUUUCAACAUCCCUGAGAGACUUUCUCUAGAGGACUGUCCCUAAGGACAUUCAUUAAGUGAUGUAUAGUGAGUAUUUGUUUCUUCUAGAAACAUCCAGCAGAAAGUCUUUAGGGGAGUCAGUCAAAUUGGAGUAAUGAGCCGAAACUGCCCCGGGAUUGAUAGUUUUGAUAUCUGUUGGCAAUCCUCUGAAUAUCAAAAUGGAAAACUCUUCAGAGAAUCAUCUCCCAACUUGGUUGGACUUCCUCCUUAGCUAUUAUUUUAGGGUUCCAUGGAAAUUGGAAGAUUGGCUGUGGAUGAGAAAUGAGUAGAAAAUUGAUCUAUGAGAUUCCCGCUUCUUCUUCUUCACCGUGGUGACUUGCAAGAUCCUAGCAGCCAGAUCAGGAGGAAAAUGAGCAGGGCUCCCGCCACGAUGCCUGUCACCGCUCCCGCCACCAUGCCAAUGCUCUGCACAUCUGUUUCCUCAGAAGCACAGACAGAAGUAACGUCAAACAUAAGCUCGGAGAUGCGUGCACUCUGGAAGCUCAGGACGGGAUGGCUUCCAGCGCCCUGCCCUGCGACCCUCUCAUGUGACUGCGCCUUUCCAUAUUCUUGCAAGCUGAAGUUACUGAAUCACUCUGCUAGUUUGCUCAGAUUUUAGUGACUAAGUCUGUCUUGGUUCACGUUGGCUGGGGAAGUUAUUGUGUCAUGUUAAAAAAAAAAAAAAUCUCCCCCCCCCAAAAAAAAAACAAGCCAGGCGGUG